GCCUGGGUGGCUUAGUCGGUUGAGCGUCUGACUUUGGCUCAGGUCGUGAUUUCACAGUUCUUGGGUUCGAGCCCCACAUUGGGCU
rnacentral:tRNA from 1 species